GGCGACCGGCGCACGGGUGAGUAACACGUAUCCAACCUGCCGUCUACUCUUGGACAGCCUUCUGAAAGGAAGAUUAAUACAAGAUGGCAUCAUGAGUCCGCAUGUUCACAUGAUUAAAGGUAUUCCGGUAGACGAUGGGGAUGCGUUCCAUUAGAUAGUAGGCGGGGUAACGGCCCACCUAGUCUUCGAUGGAUAGGGGUUCUGAGAGGAAGGUCCCCCACAUUGGAACUGAGACACGGUCCAAACUCCUACGGGAGGCAGCAGUGAGGAAUAUUGGUCAAUGGGCGAGAGCCUGAACCAGCCAAGUAGCGUGAAGGAUGACUGCCCUAUGGGUUGUAAACUUCUUUUAUAAAGGAAUAAAGUCGGGUAUGGAUACCCGUUUGCAUGUACUUUAUGAAUAAGGAUCGGCUAACUCCGUGCCAGCAGCCGCGGUAAUACGGAGGAUCCGAGCGUUAUCCGGAUUUAUUGGGUUUAAAGGGAGCGUAGAUGGAUGUUUAAGUCAGUUGUGAAAGUUUGCGGCUCAACCGUAAAAUUGCAGUUGAUACUGGAUAUCUUGAGUGCAGUUGAGGCAGGCGGAAUUCGUGGUGUAGCGGUGAAAUGCUUAGAUAUCACGAAGAACUCCGAUUGCGAAGGCAGCCUGCUAAGCUGCAACUGACAUUGAGGCUCGAAAGUGUGGGUAUCAAACAGGAUUAGAUACCCUGGUAGUCCACACGGUAAACGAUGAAUACUCGCUGUUUGCGAUAUACUGCAAGCGGCCAAGCGAAAGCGUUAAGUAUUCCACCUGGGGAGUACGCCGGCAACGGUGAAACUCAAAGGAAUUGACGGGGGCCCGCACAAGCGGAGGAACAUGUGGUUUAAUUCGAUGAUACGCGAGGAACCUUACCCGGGCUUAAAUUGCAGAUGAAUUACGGUGAAAGCCGUAAGCCGCAAGGCAUCUGUGAAGGUGCUGCAUGGUUGUCGUCAGCUCGUGCCGUGAGGUGUCGGCUUAAGUGCCAUAACGAGCGCAACCCUUGUUGUCAGUUACUAACAGGUUCCGCUGAGGACUCUGACAAGACUGCCAUCGUAAGAUGUGAGGAAGGUGGGGAUGACGUCAAAUCAGCACGGCCCUUACGUCCGGGGCUACACACGUGUUACAAUGGGGGGUACAGAGGGCCGCUACCACGCGAGUGGAUGCCAAUCCCCAAAACCUCUCUCAGUUCGGACUGGAGUCUGCAACCCGACUCCACGAAGCUGGAUUCGCUAGUAAUCGCGCAUCAGCCACGGCGCGGUGAAUACGUUCCCGGGCCUUGUACACACCGCCCGUCAAGCCAUGAAAGCCGGGGGUACCUGAAGUACGUAACCGCAAGGAGCGUCCUAGGGUAAAACUGGUAAUUGGGGCUAAGUC
rnacentral:rRNA from 1 species